UCCAAUGGUCUGCAGUUUCUAGAUUAUGAAUUUAGAAGUGUAUUAUUCUAUUAUAAAACUAUGUUUUUGCUGCUAUUCCAAUACUUUAUUGCCUUUUAAGUUACAGUAAACUUCCCGCACUAGAAGUUCAAAAUAGGAGUUUAGUUGGGGGGUUUUAAUCGGAAUUUUAUUGUAUAUGCAGUGGUACUAGUAAACGGAUUACCCGUUAUAUUUUUAUUUAUAAGUAUAUCUCUGAAUAUACUUAUAACAUAUCAUAUUAAUUUUUGAUUAACAAACGUUUUUACGGUUACCUAAACUAUCAUUUAUGAAACGUCAUGAAGCGUCAUAUAAUAAUAUUAUACUAAAAACAAACAAAAAUUUGAAUAUAAAAUACGCAAUUGUGCGGCGCAUGCGCUACGAUUUGGCAUCUUUUCCUCGUGAAAUCACUCGAAAGAAUCUGUGUAUCAUAAUUUUAGUUUUUUACGAAUUUAAGUGCUCAAAAAUGAAUUUAUAGUGACAAUAAUAAGUUUUGUGAAUAACGACGAAAUCAAAAGAAAAAAUGGUGUUUAGUGAUUGUCCGGACUCGGACAUAAUUGGUUGCGGAUUCAGUGCUUUUAAGGAAAUUGAUGAAGUGACCGCUUUAAUUUCGGAAUUAAAGAAAGUUAAUCUUUCACCCAGCCUUGUUGAAAAAAAUCGAGAUCGUUUCAACUUUAUUUUAUCACAAUAUCAGGAUCAGAGACAAUUAUUGGAUCCUUACUUAGAUGACAUUUUACAGCCACUGAUUGGUAUUAUUAAAGAUGAAAAUUCAACAGAAAGCAUGCGGCACAAUGCUUUUAAAUAUAUUUUUAUUGUUAUGUCAGUGAAAACAUACAAAAAAAUUGUUACGUAUCUUCCACAUGAGGUAACAGAUCUUCUUCCUGUUCUACGAAUGCUUGAAAAGCAAGAUAUAAAUGAUGUAGAAACAUGGGAAACUCGAUAUGUGCUUCUAAUUUGGCUUUCUAUAAUAUCAAAGAUACCAUUUCCACUUUCACGUCUGGAAGUCUCUGAUGUUAAAUUAGAAGAAUCAAUAAUAGUCAGAAUUAUAAAGAUAUGUAAAUUAUUUUGUUUAUCGAAAGAUGCUUGUGCUGUGGCUGCAGUAUUUUUAAUUGCUAAUUUCUUAACAAGAUCGGACGUUAAAAAAGUAUAUUUGCAAGAAAUGAUAAUAUGGAGUUUACAAUGUGUAAAGGACGAUCCCUUGAGACAUGGUCCUUUAGCAGUUAUAGCAGCUAUAUUAAAACACAGUGCAAGAGAAGAUGUUAAACCAUACACUCAAACAAUUUUAGAUGAAGUUUUACAAUUUCAUUUGAACGAUAAUCCUGCAGAUCUUAUUCGAAAGUUUGGAAUAAAGAUUGUACAAAGAAUUGGUUUGGUAUUAUUAGGAACAAAAUUAGCUACAUGGAGAUACCAGAAAGCUAGUAGACCUAUAUCUUUACUACCUAAUACUAAGAAUAGUAAUACUAUGGAAAGUAUUGAAGAAGCUAAAGAUAUUCCAUGUUACCACGACGAUCAAGAUAUUCCACCUGCAAUAGAAGAUAUUAUCGAACAACUUAUACAAGGACUGCGAGAUAAAGCAAUUACAAUACGAUGGUCUGCUGCAAAGGGAAUUGGUAGAAUAACAGCAAGACUACCAAUAGAUUUAGCAGAUGAUGUAGUAGGAUUUGUAUUAAAUCUUUUUUCUGGUCGGGAGUCAGAUUCUGCUUGGCAUGGUGGCUGUCUAGCAUUAGCAGAAUUAGGAAGACGUGGACUUCUUUUGCCCCACCGAUUGAAAGAUGUGAUACCAGUAGUUGUUCAGGCAUUGGUAUUUGAUGAACCACGAGCUUAUGGAUCAAUUGGAUAUUUAAUUAGAGAUGCUGCAUGUUAUGUUUGUUGGGCAUUUGCCAGAGCAUACGAUUCUGAUGUUUUUCAACCAUAUGUGAAAGAAAUUGCAGCUAUGUUAUUAGUUGUUACGUGUUUUGAUAGAGAAAUUAAUUGUAGAAGAGCUGCUUCUGCAGCGUUUCAAGAAAAUGUAGGUAGACAGGGAAAUUUUCCACAUGGAAUAGAAAUACUUACCAUUGCUGAUUACUUUGAAGUCGGCGUUAGAAAUCACGCAUAUUUAAAAAUUAGUACUCAAAUUGCACAAUAUGAAGAAUAUACAAAACCUCUCAUUGAUCAUUUAGUUGCAAGAAAAGUUACACAUUGGGAUACAGCACUUAGGGAACUUUCAGCUAAAGCUCUUUUUAAUUUAACUCCUAUAGAUCCAAACUACUUCAAAGAUACAGUUUUACCAAAUUUAUUAGAAAUGUUAAAUUCUAUUGAUUUAAAUAUCAGACAUGGUGCAGUAUUAGCUAUUGCAGAAAUUUUAGAAGCAUUACAUAAUUGCUUCAAUGAAAAAAUUGAGAACAUAAUUGGAGCAUCAGCUGUAGAAAAUAUAAGAAAUAUAGUAAACACUUUUAGAAAAAGAGGACAAUUCAAAGGUCUUGGAGGGGAAUUAAUGAAACAAGCUUGUGCUGUAUUUAUAAAGAAAUGCUCUAUUGUCCAUUUUCCAAUAUCUAGGGAAAUUAUUUAUGACUGGCAAAAUCUAUUAGAAGAAUGUUUGGGUCAUGAAGUGUCUACAGUAAAAAUAAAAGCAGCAGAAGCACAUACAGAAUUUUUAAAAAAAUAUUAUGCCAACUUAGAUAGCGGAGACCGUAAUGUUGUGAUUAAUCGUUAUCUUGAUAAUUUACAGUCAAAUAAUCAGUUGGUUCGAAUUGGUUUCGCGCAAGCCAUAGGAUAUUUUCCUUUAUUUAUAAUUUGUGAAAGAAUAAAAGACGUAAUAGAGGCUCUCAUUAAGUGUACUGAAAUAUCAGCAAAUACUUUAAAGUGGGCAGAGAGCAGGAAAGAAGCUAUUCAUGCCUUGAUAAUGGUUUGUCAAACUUUAGGAGUGAAAGAAACAGAUAAAUGGGAAGUAUUCAUACCCAAUUUAUAUCAUUGUUAUUUAUUGGCAUUAAAGGAGUAUACAAUAGAUAGUCGUGGAGAUAUAGGAGCUUGGGUACGAGAAGCAGCAAUGACUGGUUUACAUAUGUUAACAAAUUUGGUAUCACAAGCAAAUUUAAUUUCUGUAUUAAAUGAUGAAUUAAUGGCAAAUAUAAUUGGAGGAAUUGCACAGCAAGCUGUUGAAAGAAUUGAUGGAAUUCGAGCACAAGCAGGAAUUGUUUUCAGUGCACUUAUACAUAGUGAUCCUCCUCUACCAAACAUUCCAUACCAUGAAGAAUUAAAAACUAUUUUUCCUUAUAAUGAAUGUAAAGAACAUAUAGAAUGGAGAAUGGAAUCUGCUACUUUUCCACGGUUUAUUAAAAUGUUAUCUUAUCCUCCAUAUACAAUGAGCCUCUUACGGGGAAUUAUAUUUAGUGUUGGAGGCUUAAGUGAAUCUUUGGUUAAACAUUCUAGCGUUUCUUUAUUUUCUUAUUUACAAGAAAUAGAUGAGUUAGGUCUUAAAAAUUUAUGUUAUAAGAUUUUACAAAUUUUCGAAGAAAGUCAUAAAAAUGAGAGAAUGAUCACAUCGAUGUUGGCCUUUUUGGAUCGUUUACUUAGUUCUGGGUGUAUUCAAAUUGUUCUUGAUGAUUCUGAAAAUGGAAUUGCAGAACGAAUAUUAAUAUUACUGAAGCAAGAAAUAAAAAACACAAGCAACACUAAGUUGUUAAUUAGCAGUAUAAAUGUUUUUUGUCAACUCCUGCAGAUACAUGGACCAGUAGCAAAGAGAGCAUUUUGUCAACUAAGCAUUUUUCUUUGUCAUAAAUAUAAAUGCAUACGAAAGGUAGCUGCUACAAAAACAUACGAAGCUUUAACUUUGUAUGGAGAAGAAAUGGAUCUUUCAGAACAAGACUUAAUGCAACUUUUGACUGAAUUAAAUGUUACUGAUUGGGAGCAAUCAGUAACUGAACUUCGAUCAAUCAGAAAUCACCUCUGUGAUUUAAUGAAAGUACCAGCUCCUAUUGUGCAAACCAAACCAAUGAAUUGAAUUUAAGUAUCCCGUUUUCAUUUAACCAGAUUGGUACAGAUCCAACGAUAAGGGGCCUCCACAAUUUUUCCGUGAUAUAAUCUUCACAGACUGCAUUUUCAAAAGCUAUUGUAAAUUUAUACUUACUGAUGAAUGACAGAAAAUCCUCACUGUUUAAUAUUUCAAGGUAGAUCUAUAAGAGUGAGAGGCACAUCACUAAAUCUGCUAAAUGUUGAGGAGUACGUAAAAAGAUUUAAAGUUUGUUGAUGAACCAGGAUUGGGUUAUUUCUUGGGGACUCUUCAUGAAGCAAACCCCAGGGAACUUCAUUGGAUUUCCAUUCUGGUAAAUCAUUAAUUUGAAAAGCAGUACCAUAGAAAAGAAAGCUCUGCAAAUUAAAAUAUGCUUACAUUUUCGAGAAUGAAUUAAUUAAUCCACUUC
rnacentral:misc_RNA from 1 species